rnacentral:rRNA from 2 species
CUAUACAUGCAGUCGACGAACUCUGAGUAUUGAUUAGGUGCUUGCAUCAUGAUUUACAUUUGAGUGAGUAGGCGAACUAGGUGAGUAACACGUGGGAAACCUGCCCAGAAGCGGGGGAUAACACCUGGAAACAGAUGCUAAUACCGCAUAACAACUUGGACCGCAUGGUCCGAGCUUGAAAGAUGGCUUCGGCUAUCACUUUUGGAUGGUCCCGCGGCGUAUUAGCUAGAUGGUGGGGUAACGGCUCACCAUGGCAAUGAUACGUAGCCGACCUGAGAGGGUAAUCGGCCACAUUGGGACUGAGACACGGCCCAAACUCCUACGGGAGGCAGCAGUAGGGAAUCUUCCACAAUGGACGAAAGUCUGAUGGAGCAACGCCGCGUGAGUGAAGAAGGGUUUCGGCUCGUAAAACUCUGUUGUUAAAGAAGAACAUAUCUGAGAGUAACUGUUCAGGUAUUGACGGUAUUUAACCAGAAAGCCACGGCUAACUACGUGCCAGCAGCCGCGGUAAUACGUAGGUGGCAAGCGUUGUCCGGAUUUAUUGGGCGUAAAGCGAGCGCAGGCGGUUUUUUAAGUCUGAUGUGAAAGCCUUCGGCUCAACCGAAGAAGUGCAUCGGAAACUGGGAAACUUGAGUGCAGAAGAGGACAGUGGAACUCCAUGUGUA